rnacentral:lncRNA from 1 species
UGACAGUUGGUCUUUAAUACUUAAAGGAAUUAACUAAGAUUUGAGACUUGAGCUUAUUUCUUCAUCAUCCACAUAUUCAUCAAUGCUGAAGGAGAAUGAAGCUAACGUUGCUGGCUCGUCAACCUCUAAAAUUGAUCAAUGUGAAGAAAUAUUCAUUAAGAAAAGAGACAUUGUUAUCAGGAGCUAAGUAUUGGUACCUGGACAUAAAAUUGUUGUUGCAGAUGAGCAUCGGCUUGGG